AAUUAAUUCAACAUCGAGGUCGCAAGCUUAACUAUUAAUAAGAACUUAUCAAUUAAAUAACGCUGUUAUCCCUAGAGUAACUUUAACAAAUAUAUUUAUAUAAAAUAAAAAUUUAUUUCUUCAAAAAUUGCCCCAAUUAAAAAUUUAAAAAAUUUUAAGCUUCUAGGGUCUUCUCGUCCCAAGAGAUUACAAAAACAUUUUUAAUUUUAAUUUAAAUUCAAAAUUAUAAAAUAAAACACUCCUAUCAGUUCCUACCCUUCAUUCCAGCCUCCAAUUAAAAAA
rnacentral:rRNA from 1 species